rnacentral:tRNA from 1 species
GGCUGGAUAGCUCUGUUGGUUUGAGCGUGGUGCUGACAACGCCAAGGUUACAGGUUUGAUCCCCGUAAGGGAGAGAGAGCUG